rnacentral:misc_RNA from 1 species
UUUCCGUAGGUGAACCUGCGGAAGGAUCAUCACUGAUCACGGCCUUGCCGCUGACCCCCUGCGCACUGUUGCAGCGCGCCCGCAAGGGCGCGCAUCGUUUACCCAAUUCACGCGAGGAGAGUUUGAGGCGCGCGCAUGCGCGGGAACGGAACGCAACACAACUUUUAACAACGGAUCUCUUGGUUCUC